CUGUGGAGUACACCUUUAGGUGUAUUGGUAGGAGAGCGUUCUAAGGGCGUUGAAGGCAGAUCGUGAGGACUGCUGGAGCGCUUAGAAGUGAGAAUGCCGGUAUGAGUAGCGAAAGACAGGUGAGAAUCCUGUCCACCGAAUGACUAAGGUUUCCUGGGGAAGGCUCGUCCGCCCAGGGUUAGUCGGGACCUAAGCCGAGGCCGACAGGCGUAGGCGAUGGAUAACAGGUUGAUAUUCCUGUACCCGUUGUUUUUGUUUGAGCAAUGGAGGGACGCAGGAGGCUAAGGAAUGCAGACGAUCGGAAAUGUCUGUCCAAGCAGUAAGUCUGAAGAGGAGUCAAAUGCUUCUUUUCUUAAGGACAAGCUGUGAUGGGGAGGGAAAUAAUAGUACCGAAGUUCCUGAUGUCACACUGCCGAGAAAAGCUUCUAGUGAGAAAACAGCGGCCCGUACCGCAAACCGACACAGGUAGUCGAGGAGAGAAUCCUAAGGUGAGCGAGAGAACUCUCGUUAAGGAACUCGGCAAAAUGACCCCGUAACUUCGGGAGAAGGGGUGCU
rnacentral:rRNA from 1 species